UGGGGAAUAUUGGACAAUGGGGGCAACCCUGAUCCAGCCAUGCCGCGUGAGUGAUGAAGGCCUUCGGGUUGUAAAGCUCUUUUGGCGGGGACGAUGAUGACGGUACCCGCAGAAUAAGCCCCGGCUAACUUCGUGCCAGCAGCCGCGGUAAGACGAAGGGGGCUAGCGUUGUUCGGAAUUACUGGGCGUAAAGCGAGUGUAGGCGGUUGCCGUAGUCAGGUGUGAAAGCCUUGAGCUCAACUCAAGAAAUGCACUUGAUACUGGGUGACUAGAGGACCGGAGAGGAUAGUGGAAUUCCCAGUGUAGUGGUGAAAUACGUAGAGAUUGGGAAGAACACCAGUGGCGAAGGCGGCUAUCUGGACGGUUACUGACGCUAAGACUCGAAAGCGUGGGGAGCAAAACAGGAUUAGAUACCCUGGUAGUCCACGCCGUAAAACGAUGGGUGCUAGACGUUGGCGAGCUUGCUCGUCAGUGUCGCAGCUAAACGCGUUAA
rnacentral:rRNA from 1 species